ACUCCCCUUCCUCUUCUGAUCACUGCAGGAAUAGACAAGGACCAUCUAUCGGCAGACCACGUAUGUGUAUGGGAAUAAGGGGAACCUGGGAAUGAGGGGAACCCACAAGUCGUGAGGCGACGUCCUGCGCUAGGCAUAGCCAUUGUGCUGCCCUUGGGUAGUGAGCUCACAGGUUAGGUUAGGUUGCCGGCUGGGGUAGGAGAAAAGCUCCUAGGAGGGAGUUCCUACAAAAAAGAGGUUGCCGGCUGGGGUAGGAGAAAAGCUCCCAGGAGGGAGUUCCUACAAAGGGGACCUGUAAGUUGUAUGCGUGGAAAAAGAGUAACAACGUGGAUUUUUGUGGCAAUAAUAGCAGGACUCACAGGUUGUAUAAUUUCUAUAACCAUCCGUUGUAAAUGUUCGGUACCGUGUAUUUGAACUACUGAUGCAUUCAAAAAAUUCUUUCAAGCGUUCUAACUCAGACUGUACUUAAGCUGGCAUUUGUGUGUGUGUGUGUGUGUGUGUGUGUGUGUGAGUGAGUGGGACGUGGCAGAGCCAUGAAGUGAGUGCAGAGUCCCUAGUCUGUGGUUCCGUUCUCCCGCGAGGGAAAUGGCCGGAGAAGGACGGAGUGAAAGACGAUUCUUUGUGUUGUCUGUCCGUUGUUUGUAUGUAUUUUAUAGACUGGAAUAAGGAUGGGAGUUUGUACUCUAUAGAUUGGGAAGAGGGACCAGAGGAAAGGUGUACAUUCCACCCGACAAAUGAAUGUUGGCCCAUUUAUGUUAUACUUUGUUUAGUGUGUGAGGAGGUGUACCAGGGCUGGUGGCAUCAUUUGUGUCCAGAGUGCCAUUGUGACUGAUGGAUGGAGCAUUGGGGAUUAGUGUGGGGAAAUUCUGGAGUAUUGAGAGUUACUUGUGGAAGUUUUAAGGCAGUAAUGAACUGAUAAGAAUAUUGUAAACAUCAUGGGAGGCUCCCAGGGGAAUGAAAUUCCCAAACAAUCCCGUUCGGAAUGCGUAUUGGUAUAUUGAUGGGAUAUUGCGGGGGAACCUGGAGGCACCCUGAGUAAGGAAACUUUAAUCAAGUAUUACAAUCAGUGGUGGUUGAUAUAUAACUUUGAAGAUGAAAAGAAGUGGCCCCAGAAUGGGACCCUAAACUAUAAUACCUUCUUACAGUUACUGUUAUUCUUAAGGACGGAAGGUAAAUGAAGUAACAUUAACAGUUUUUAUAAUUGAGUGCUUUAAUCACGAGACUAAGUAUUGGAUGUUUGUGGAAACUGAAGAACUGUAUUGUUUGAUUAGUGGGUUCUGAAGGGAAUGGGAUAAACAGUUUUGAUGAUAUAAUGGCAUACAAAAGUGUGACUUGAGGGUAUGAAUAGUGGACAGAGAGAAAAGGGUUAAAGAGAAAGUAAAUUUAUCUGCGUUGCCAUGAGAGUAACCCCCCCCCACCCCGCAUGGUUCCCCCGCGAGCAGAACUCGAAGUGAGAGAGAGACGGAGUGAGAGAGUGCUGUUGUAAACAGCAUUACCUGUGAAGGGGGUGGGAGGUGGAGAGGACGGGGCACUGGAAGUGAGAACAGCCUUCAUCUGCAGAGAUCUAGGAAACCCAAAAUUCCAGUGUUAGCACUGGAAGCCUUCGGAGAGGAGGAGGUGAAACUGAAAUAUAAUGGUAGUGGUUUAUGUAAUAAUUAGAGUUUGAAAAGUGAAAGGUUUGGGAAGGAUGCAGGCUGAGGAAGGCAAGGUGUAACAGGGAUGUCAGAACCAAGGAGGACAGAAAUCAGAUCCACUGGUUAAAUUGCAGCUAGGAGAGCAGGAUAAAGAUGUUUAUUUUCUGGUGGGGACAGGUGCCUCUUACCACCCAUAGAUGAUUUUGCAGCAGUGGUAGGAGCUACUGGCCAACAAGAAAAAGCUUACCUUUUGGGAUCAAUUAAAUAUAGGCUGAGAAAAUAAGUAGGAAUACAUAAAUUCUUGUACAUGCCAGGUUCUCCAAAACUAUUAUUCUGGCAAGACUUAUUAGAACAAAUGGAUGCAGGGAUUAAAUUCAAUAGAACUGGAGCUAAGCGUCAAACAAUUAACUGAUUGAAAAUUAUAAGUCUGGCUUUAAC
ensembl:lncRNA